CCUACGGGAGGCAGCAGUGGGGAAUUUUGGACAAUGGGCGCAAGCCUGAUCCAGCAAUGCCGCGUGAGUGAAGAAGGCCUUCGGGUUGUAAAGCUCUUUUGUCAGGGAAGAAAAGGCUACGGAUAAUACCUGUGGCUCAUGACGGUACCUGAAGAAUAAGCACCGGCUAACUACGUGCCAGCAGCCGCGGUAAUACGUAGGGUGCAAGCGUUAAUCGGAAUUACUGGGCGUAAAGCGUGCGCAGGCGGUUUUGUAAGACUGUCGUGAAAUCCCCGGGCUCAACCUGGGAAUGGCGAUGGUGACUGCAAGGCUAGAGUUUGGCAGAGGGGGGUAGAAUUCCACGUGUAGCAGUGAAAUGCGUAGAUAUGUGGAGGAACACCGAUGGCGAAGGCAGCCCCCUGGGUCAAAACUGACGCUCAUGCACGAAGACGUGGGAGGACAACGAGGAGUAGUAGUACCGUACGGUAGUACCGACCGACCCGUAACCGACUAGUCUACUAGUUAGUCGGUCGUUAUUAGUACGUUAGUACG
rnacentral:rRNA from 1 species